UGAGAACCCUAGCCUCCCUCGGUCCCUCCUCUCCCUUCGCUCUUGCAGCGGCCCGCCUCCCACAUCCUCGCACCGCCCCCGCUGCUCUCCCUCGCGCUGCCCCGCCGCCCCUGCCGCUCUCCUUGCGUCGUCGCCUCCGCUUGCCUCGCCAUCGCUCCCUCGGUGCUUAGCAGGGGGAGCGCGGGUCACCGUCGGCCCUCGCGAGAGGUCACCUCCCCCGGUCAACUCUGGCCACCUCCACCACCACACACUGGCAGGAGCCCACCGCCACUCAUCCUUCUCCUCCAUCGCAUGGUCAUCACCGGGAGGGGGAGUGGCUCUGCCUGGAGGCGUCGCUAUCGGCUGGAGGAGCGCCGGACCAUCGUCUUAGGGUUCAUGCACCUCUGGGAAGAAGGUGAACCGAGGUGAGUCGCCUCCAAUCCAUUGUGCGAAGUCAGCAGGGGCUGGAUCCCAACGGGCAAAGAUGCACUCCUCCAGAGCUGCUGGGAAGAAGAAGAAGAAGAUGGGAAAAUAGAACAAUUUCAAGUUUGGUUAUCUCCAUGUGGAACCCCUACCGCGUGAUGGCCUGAUUGUGUUGUCCUGUCUCCAUGAGCAGGAGGUAGUAAUUCCCAAGCUGCAGAAAAUCAAAGAUCAAAUCGUUCCAUGUUUUGAUUAGGUAGGAGCAAGAGGAAGGAGUACCUCCAUGCUCUUGGUAGUACCUCCAUGUUGCAAAUUCCGAGGCACUACCAAUAUAUUGCACUAUUACUACAACUAUCUGGCAAGCUUCACGAGUGAGUACAGAUUGACGGUUAUUACCCGGCAAGCAAAUCCACCUCUGCAGCUAUGCUUGGUAGCUCAUUCUCAAGUGACUUGCAAUCUCUGCUUACUGAGUUAUUGGUGUUAAUUCUACUUCUGUUUGAGCAUUUUGUGUUUUAUUUGAAGCUUUGAAUUAAUCCAGCAUUAGCUUUACUAAUAAUAAAUUUGUUUGCCGGGAGCAGUUUGAACAAGCUUGCAACUAGAGUGUAAAAUAAAUUACCUACACAAAAGGCAGAUGCAGGCCGUCACCGGCGGCUGGCAUUCCCCUCCUCGAGCUGGCGGACUAAUGAUGGAGGACUGCCCCGUGCUCCAGCCACAUGCCACUGGCCCGUGCUUGUCUUGCCUACCCCGUGCUUGUUUGCCCUCUUCGCUCCACCGGCGCCGCUGCUUCUGCUUCUGCUGCUCGCUCGCCAACGGCAGCACAGGUCCGACUUCAAUCUGCUGAUUUCUGUCUGGUGAAGCAAGCAAGUGAGCUGACAAAAUUUCUGUCUGGUGGAGUAGUUAACUGAAGAUAACUGAUUCAGUUAGUGACAAAUUUAGUUAUUGACUAAAUUCAGUAGGUGAUCUAUGUCUGGUGAAGCAAGAAGGUGAUUUAUGUCUGGAGCAGUUAACUGAAGAUUAAUUGGUUCAAGCAAAAUUAGUUGAUUCAAGCAACAAUUUCUUCCCCUGCUCCUGCAAGUCCAUCAAUGGUUGCUGGUGCUGGUGAGAUCUCUCUUCAAAAUGUGUUGUUGAUGGUGCUGAUUUAUGCAAGCCCAUAAGUUCUUGUUGCUGCUGAUUUAUGCAAGCCCAUAUGUUGUUGUUGCUGCUGAUUUAUGCAAGCCCAUAAGUUCUGUUGCUGCUGAUUUGUUGCUGCUGGAAAUGUGUCAUAAUGUGUUGUCACAACACACUGCUUGAUGCACUGUCUGGAGUAGUAACACUGCUGGAACCAUAUUUUAGUCCUCUAGUCUAAGUAGCAGUUCAAAAUUCAGUUCAAGCAGCAGUCUUAGCAGUAGUAAUGGUUGCUUGAUCUGUUUCA